rnacentral:lncRNA from 1 species
CCAGCCACGCAUAGUACAUUUCCUCCACAUAGUUUGAACUAGUCCCGCUCAGAAAAGGCUCGGCAGCCACCGGCGCGCUGUAGCACCGGAUGGGGUGAAACGUCCUGGGUGCUGCCGGCCUCUGUUGGGAAACUGUCUUAACAGUCUGAGAGGCUGUCAGUGGCCUCAGCUUUGCUGCACAAGUCCUUAAGUUAAACAUGUUUGUCCGACAGCCUCACACGAGUUCCUGCCGGCCCGCCCGUGCUCCCCGCUCGCGGCCCCG